GAAGCGUAGUAAUGCGUGAAGCUAACUCGUACUAAUUGGCUGAUUGUCUUGACCAUAUAACCUGAAUGACUUCGGGU
rnacentral:rRNA from 1 species